rnacentral:rRNA from 1 species
CGUGGGUAACCUGCCCAGAAGUAGGGGAUAACACCUGGAAACAGAUGCUAAUACCGUAUAACAGAGAAAACCGCAUGGUUUUCUUUUAAAAGAUGGCUCUGCUAUCACUUCUGGAUGGACCCGCGGCGUAUUAGCUAGUUGGUGAGGUAAAGGCUCACCAAGGCAGUGAUACGUAGCCGACCUGAGAGGGUAAUCGGCCACAUUGGGACUGAGACACGGCCCAGACUCCUACGGGAGGCAGCAGUAGGGAAUCUUCCACAAUGGACGCAAGUCUGAUGGAGCAACGCCGCGUGAGUGAAGAAGGGUUUCGGCUCGUAAAGCUCUGUUGUUAAAGAAGAACGUGGGUAAGAGUAACUGUUUACCCAGUGACGGUAUUUAACCAGAAAGCCACGGCUAACUACGUGCCAGCAGCCGCGGUAAUACGUAGGUGGCAAGCGUUAUCCGGAUUUAUUGGGCGUAAAGCGAGCGCAGGCGGUCUUUUAAGUCUAAUGUGAAAGCCUUCGGCUCAACCGAAGAAGUGCAUUGGAAACUGGGAGACUUGAGUGCAGAAGAGGACAGUGGAACUCCAUGUGUAGCGGUGAAAUGCGUAGAUAUAUGGAAGAACACCAGUGACGAAGGCGGCUGUCUGGUCUGCAACUGACGCUGAGGCUCGAAAGCAUGGGUAGCGAAACAGGGAUUAGAUACCCUGGUAGUCCAUGCCGUAAACGAUGAUUACUAAGUGUUGGAGGGUUUCCGCCCUUCAGUGCUGCAGCUAACGCAUUAAGUAAUCCGCCUGGGGAGUACGACCGCAAGGUUGAAACUCAAAAGAAUUGACGGGGGCCCGCACAAGCGGUGGAGCAUGUGGUUUAAUUCGAAGCUACGCGAAGAACCUUACCAGGUCUUGACAUCUUCUGACAGUCUAAGAGAUUAGAGGUUCCCUUCGGGGACAGAAUGACAGGUGGUGCAUGGUUGUCGUCAGCUCGUGUCGUGAGAUGUUGGGUUAAGUCCCGCAACGAGCGCAACCCUUAUUACUAGUUGCCAGCAUUAAGUUGGGCACUCUAGUGAGACUGCCGGUGACAAACCGGAGGAAGGUGGGGACGACGUCAAAUCAUCAUGCCCCUUAUGACCUGGGCUACACACGUGCUACAAUGGAUGGUACAACGAGUCGCGAGACCGCGAGGUUAAGCUAAUCUCUUAAAACCAUUCUCAGUUCGGACUGUAGGCUGCAACUCGCCUACACGAAGUCGGAAUCGCUAGUAAUCGCGGAUCAGCAUGCCGCGGUGAAUACGUUCCCGGGCCUUGUACACACCGCCCGUCACACCAUGAGAGUUUGUAACACCCAAAGCCGGUGGGGUAACCUUUUUAGGAGCUAGCCGUCUAAGGUGGGACAGAUGAUUA